CUGUGCGAGGCUCAGGUGUUCUAGUUUCUUUGACAUUUCCCUUCCUGAAAGCGGCAAGGAGAAGACGGUCUGAGAGUGGGCAAACUUCAACGUUCGGUUACAGUGUAAUUAAUGAAAGUGAAAGGAAGAAAAAGACCUGAACAGUACAUCCAGAGAAUCCAGCAAAGCAUACCACGGCAUGAACAUGCAAGUGGACAGAAUUAAAACACAUGCCAGAAACACUAAUGGAUUCUAAACAAGACGCGGUUUCAUUUCCUGAACCUAUACUUGAUGUUCUUAACUGUUCUCCAGUUAAUAUGUCUCCAUUUCCAGAAAUCUAACAGGAGAAUCUCUGACUGCUUAACAGAUCACCUAAGCUUGCGAUUUGUGCAAUCCAUUCUAGAGUAAGGGCUCUCUGGCUGCUCCCUGGCCACUGUGUACCCAAAGCAGCGGCUGAAAUAGCCCGGGGUCCGACAGCUCAGCGUCAAGCAGCUCGUGGCAAACGCAGCCGCCGUCUUGACUGCCAUCAGCCCAAGGGGUUCCUCUGGGCUCUCCCGCGAGCCAACAGCCGACCUCUCUCCAGCCUAGUCUGGGAAACUCCAGCCAACCCAGGAUCCCAUUUUGUAGUCCCGGGCAGACCCGACAC